rnacentral:rRNA from 1 species
UACGUAGGGCGCAAGCGUUGUCCGGAAUUAUUGGGCGUAAAGAGCUCGUAGGUGGUUUGUCGCGUCUGUCGUGAAAGCCCACGGCUUAACCGUGGGUCUGCGGUGGAUACGGGCAGACUAGAGGCAGGUAGGGGAGAAUGGAAUUCCCGGUGUAGCGGUGAAAUGCGCAGAUAUCGGGAGGAACACCGGUGGCGAAGGCGGCUUACUGGUCCGGUUCUGACGCUGAGGCGCGAAAGCGUGGGGAGCAAACAGG